UUUUUCCGACUGCAUCAUGUGAUGUGAUGUGACGUGACGUGACUCGGUCCAACUUGCUGCAGUGAGAAGCAAGAGGCACAGAGCAAUGACAGACUGAGGAGGGCACAGACACAUGGCUCCUGGAACGUGCAUGACCUUGCCUGUGCUUCUUCCUUGAAGACAGUCCCUGUCCUAACUUGUUGCUGGAGAUUCCAGCUGAAUGCAUAAGGACAUCCUCACUGAGCACCAGCCACAAUUUGCAUUGGAAGGAGGAGGAGAGCAAUCCAAAAAUAGAGGAGAAGGCGUCAAGAUGGUCUAAAGGUGGUACUGCAGAUCAUGAGCUUGAUUCAGCCUCUGAGACAUUUCCUUUCACAGGGAGGACUACAGCCUGAGGACGUUUAGAAGUUAGAGACCAGAAAGAAGCCGAGAACGAAGGGUAUUACAGUAACGAGGGAAAGUCUUAGAGGCCACACUCAGCCAAGAAUGUUUUCUUUUCCUUCUUAAAUCCAGUGUGGUCUAUAAAACCACUCUCAUUAAAGCUUCGGGAAAAAAACACUUUGACUAGAAUAUCUGGUACAGGGAAGGUGCAGGCAUUUACAAGCAUUUCCAAUGAGCUGGUUAACAGACUACGUAACACUGGAGGAGCCUCCCACGUCUGACACUUGGUGCAUUUGCUUGGAUUCAUAAAACUGGAAGCAGGAGAAUAAAUAACCUAGGGGAUCAUAAAACAGCUAACUAUGCUUGUGAAGCCAAGCAGAAAGUCUGAACUCUACAAAAUCGCAGGCUGAAAAAUCAAAGCUCCAUUAACUGUAUGCGCCCUCUAAUUCUAAGAAGUGAUCAGUUUGAGGGUGAACCAGUGUGGAACAGAGUUUGAUGUGGAAACAGAUGAGGCCAAGGAGAAAACUAAAAACAUGAGAAUCUCUAGACUAAGGGCAGGCAGUCCCCAGCAAGCAGAGACUGGGAGUCAGAACCAGAACUCUGGCUUGCCUUCUAAACUUCUUAGUUAACCCCCUCAAAUAUUGGUGUCCUGUGUCACCUCCAGGAGGAGCUACUUCAGUCCUAUGAAGCCCCAACCUUGACCUGGCUUCCCAAAGAACACGUGCCUCAAGUAGCCGUAUGGUCCCUGGGAAGUGGUGGGAACCUGAUACCCUGGAGAUUCAAUUAAGUUGUUCAGGUAUAUAUUUCUUUCAUAACAUUGCCUGAGCAAAAUCAAUUUUUCUUUACAUACUUUCCUCCCAACUAGACCACGAUCUUUGGGGGGGGGUAAUUACUAUGUCUUAUUCAUUCAUAUAUCCCCAAUGCACAGAGUUGAUGCUCAAAAAUAUUUAUUGAAGGAAUAGACCAAGGUGCCUCUCAACACAAGUGGCUUCAAAGUAAAUUGUUGACAGUCAUGUAUUCAUGUGAGUAUAUAUUACUGAGUGCCAAGCUAUUAUGCUAACUAACUAGGGAUACAAAACCUAAUAAUAAAAGGCAACACAUGCCCUCAAGGGGCUCAUGUCUCAAGGGAAAGACAAGAUCUAUGAUGGAGCAGCAGUGGAACAGAAAGAAGAGGGCAGAAAAGAGGCAGUAAGGAGGGAGAUCAAACCCAUAGGACUGGGUACCUGUUUCUCUCUUAGAUGGAAAGUGUGGAUGAUAAGGAAAUUAGGAGAAUAGCUUGGAUUAAAGAGAGAGACAUGAGAAAUUCUAGUGUAAGGGGGAAAGCCAUUUGAGAGAAAGGAGAUAGUUGGUGCAGGGAAAACCCUAAAACCACUCCCCUGACCCUCUGCCAAAAUGGAACCCAAGCACACCACAGGGUAGGUAAUCAUCUAAGUCCACCCCCAACAGUGGUGAGUUCUCCGCGUACUAAAGCAGCCUAGCCUAGUUUUAGCACCUCUGAGAAACAACGUCUACUUUGAGAUGUAUCUUCUGCCCACUGCCCCUAGUUCCAUCUGUGAAAGCCACAGAGAACAUGUUAAACUCCUCUUGUAUGUGACAGCCCUUUAAACACACACUCUCCUUUCCUUUUAACUGAGGCUUAUACACGAUUUCCACACACUUCACCAUUUUUGCCAUUCUCAUGCUUGUAGACUGAUUAGAAAACAGCAACUCUAAGAGAACAGAAAAGGUAAGAAAACAAAGUUACGGCUGGCAGUGCCAGGAGGUGCGGUAACAGAAGAGGACAAAUUCAUCACUUGCAUGUUAAGCACCAGGUUAGGACCUUUUUAUACAAACCGAAAUGCCCCAGGGGUCUGCGGUUCAUUCGUGAUGCCUUCUUCACCUCCUCCGGUUCAUUCCCAUUUACUUUCUUGUAAGCAUUCUCUUUCACUAGGUCAGUUAUUAUGCCCUUACAAUGUAUUAAUGCUGUUUUGCUUUUUGUAUUCCUCUGUACUAAACUACUUAUGAAAAUGAUGUGCUGGGCAGUGGGGUGAGAUAAGUAUUUCACAGUCUCUUCGAAGUAAAAUGUACUUAUACGUGUGGCCACAGGCAGUGAUGAGCCAGCUCUAUCUUCGGACAUCUUAAGUCAUCUAAAUAUUUCCUUUGUGGCAAGUUGUAAAGAAAAUAAAACAAGAGCAUUUUACUGUAUCAUAUGCCGCAGUUAUUUUCCCACAUCAAAGGUAAAGGAAGAGAGAGGUAUUAAACUCUUUUUUUGUUUACAUACAUAGCACAAUAGCUUAUAAAAUAAGGAAAGAAAUUGCUCAGUCAAGAAAGAAACAAUUUCUUCUAACCAUUAGAAUCUAUUUGGAAAUUAUCUCUUCCAAUUGGACUUUCAUCUGACUGCCAACAUUUCAAAUCACAUCUCUUAAUAUAUCCCUUUUCAUAGGUUGAAUAGCUUCAAAUGAGGCUCAAUUCACCACUUUUCUCUGCAAAACCAUUCACUUUACAAUUCAACAUUCUCCUCAUCUUAUCACACUUUACAUUCAUGAUUUAUAAACUGGAACCCCAAAAUUUCAGAAUCCAAAGCUACAGUGUCUAAACCAACAUCAUCUUUUCCUCUUUAGGGUCUUGUUCUACACAUACAGACCUUGAGAAAAGGCUAAACAAAAUAGACUUCAUCUAUUAUUAACAUUCUAGGAUCUUUUCCCCCCCUAUAAGGAGUUUUAGCAUCACCAUGUACCACAACUCACUUUUUCCCUUUUAAAGCAAAACGUAGCAUAAACCAGAAAAAAAAAGCCCCAACAGGCUGUCCAUUUCCUGCAGUCCCUGUAGUCUCCAGUGGCCCAGUCUUUCACUGGGCAGUACAGUCAAAACUCCAACUGGUUAUGUUAUCAAAUCGGUUUAAACUUCCAUCCCAUGAAUUUGUGCAUGGCAAAGAUGGGGUUGUCUGUCUGUUUAAUAAAACAAUUCCCCUAAAAAUGCAUACAGUAUCUUUCGAGAACCUAGCAGGAACCUGAACUUGCUUCAACAAGGAAAUUUUACUCCCACUCCCAUUCUACCACGCUUUGAGCUUUGUGUCUAUAUUAUCAAACAACACAUUAAUUAAUAUCUAGCAUUUUGCAGUCUGGUACAUUCUUAUAACUUCCAGUUGGCUUGUGGCUCAUUUCGUUGUAUACUUACUUCUCCACAUUACUAAACAAACUUUGUUUUUAUAGUAUUAAAAAAAAUAGGGCUGUUGUCAAACAUUAUAUACGGAAAUGGUUUCCUUGACAACCACAACCACAAGCAAGUUGUUUGCACCUCUUCCUCACUGUGUGGUUUGUUUAGUUACUAAAAGAUGUCAAAACGUUUUGAAGCAGAGUCAGGAACUAAAUACCUGAAGUUAUAGAACCAGCUGGAGGCAAUGCAGGUGAUAAACUACCCAAACAGUUGUGAAGUAUUUAACACUAAUCAUUUUCAAGUAUUAGAGUUCAGCCUCGUGACACAGCCUCUAAAAGGACAAAAGCUGAAAGCUUGAUAUUUAAGAUCCAAAAUAAAUGACUACCCCAAGGACACUUUAAAAAAAAAAAGUAGCUAGAAAUGCCAAAGAAGAAAGAAAAAAACAUUGCACGAUAUGGAAAGUGGCAUUUCAGCUUUAUUAAUUUAUAAAUAGGUGCCAAAUGCUAAUUUUGAAAUAGGAAAGAGAUCAGCUUCAAGGUUACCAAUAGAACAUGAGAAAUUUGGUCAAAAAAGUAUGUCUCUUGACAAAAUUAGACACAAAAUAUGGAGUAUCAGUAAAACAGUUACUGAAAAACUGCGAUGUAAAUAAAAUGUCUCAUAGCUCGUAAGAUUUUAAAACAAUCUCUGUCUCUGGAAAACUCUCAAACUAAAAAUAUUAUCUCAAAUAUCAGUUUUCACCAAUGACAUGGAAAUAGCCAGCUUGUAAGGAUUAUGAAAACAUUAGAUCAAUAGGAAAUUGUACACAAUGUGAUUAGCAUCCCAAGAUAAAAUUACUAACAAGAACAUGUAACUCCCAUGGUGUCCAGUUCUCCUUCUGAAACCUGUUAAGGACAGAAUAUAGUAAAAAACAAAACAAAACAAAACAAACAAAAAAAAAACAAAACACACACAGUUUACUCUACUCUCAAAUCAUUAUCUAUUUGGGGGUGUCUUCAGACUAUCUGGAAUCAGAAUCAUUGGACUGAAAUAAAUUAUAUACACAGUUAUGUUUUUGUUCAUAUAUGUUUCUUAAGAAACAAUUGUGUGAAAAUAUAUAUCAAAAUUUAAUUUGGGAAAGUACUGGAAAUUCUGUUAGAAAUUAGAGCUGUGUAUCCCCAGAUAGUUUAAGCAGCAGGUAGAGAAGACAAAUACUUUUCUUUUAAAGCUCUGAGGGAGUCUGUGAAUUUAGAUAUGAAUUAAGGAGCAGGGGCUGGGGAGGCAGGCAGGGAGUCAAGAAGGAAAGAAGAGUGGAUGGAGGGGAGGAGGGAAGGAAAAAAAAAAAAGAAAAUAGAGAGUUCUGGAAAAAACAUAGGCCAAGAUGCUCAGAGUUGGUGACAUUCAGCAGUGCUCUGAAAACCAAAGUAAAAUUCAGAGAGUGAGUGAAACACAGGUAUCUGAGGUGAUUUUGAGAACAGUGUCAAAAUGAAGCCAAAGAGAUUCAUCUGAGGUCUAGCCAUAAAAGGACCUCAGUUCUCCCUGACCCAAAGCUUAACCUUUUUUACACACUUGCAUUCUCACCACACUGUCCUACAGAUAAGAGAAUGUCAGUGCCUCCAGUCAGCCAUGUGUUGGAACAGAACCCGAAUGGUAAGGAGAGCUCUGGCACUACCACAACCAUUCCUUGGCCCACUCCCAAUAAAAGGCCUCUCCUCUCAGGUGACAUCCAUGUUUGAAGCCUCAACAUUUGCCCAAGGAAUUCUAUCUUGGGUUCUAGGCAUAGCUGGCCACAUAGCAGAGAGCAUUCCAGGAGGUAUCUGUCAGGCAGAAUUCUCAUCAAACUCAUUCCUUCUGAUACGUCAAACACUUGCGGGGGAAACAUCACUGUGGAGCUUUGCCUGAAGGAUAGAAAAUCCAGGCAUUCCUCUUCAUACUCUAAAAUCUAUCCUUGGAUUGAUUUUCAUAUCUAGACUGUCUCAUUUAGUUCUUUCCAUCUUAUUUAUUUACUUUUUUAUUGAAGUGUAGUUGAUUUACAAUGUUAGUUUCAGGUGUACAGCAAAGUGAUUCAGUUAUACACAUACACACAUAUAUAUUUUCUUUUCAGAUUUUUUUUCCAUUAUAUAUUAUAAGAAAUUGAAUAUUUUCCCCUGUGCUAUACAGUAGGUCCUUGUUGUUUAUCUAUUUUAUAUAUAGUAAUGUGUGUCUGUUAACCCCCAACCCCUAAUUUAUAUCCCUCCCCACCCUUUCCCCUUUGGGAACCACAGUUUGUUUUCUAUCUUUUUCUUUCCAUCUUGUGAUGAAUUUUAUUUAGUUUUGUUUUAAAAUGCUGUAUCUAUAGUUCACUUUGUCCUGUAAAAAUUUUAAGGUCUGAAUUUUGUUGAAUUGAACCGUGGACUGACACCACUAGCCUUUAUUUGAAGAACAUUACAGGAAGCACUUCUAUGAAAUGCCUAUCAAGGUACUGCUGAGAAGGUUACUCAUUAUAUUUCAAAGUGUCCUCCUUGAGAAGACCCCUGGAAUAAACGCUUUGGUUCAAAGAAGUGUUGUGCGCCUCUUCCAUCUCUGGCUUGUUCUUUUCUUAAGGCCACCGACUCAUGUUUCUCUCUGGGCACAGAGCCAACUUGUGGCCCUUGUCCAUCCAUCCUACUAAACAUCAUAGCACAUAUUUUUUGGAUCCAUUCCUGGAUUCAUCAUUCUUUCCCUCCCCCUAUUUUCUCUGCAUUCAAGAAGUCCCACUUUGAAUGCAGUUUGGUGCAGCCACUAUGGAAAACAGUGUGGAGAUUCCUCAAAAGACUAGGAAUAGACUUACCAUAUGACCCAGGAAUCCCACUCCUGGGCUUGUAUCCAGAAGGAAAUCUACUUCAGGAUGACACCUGCACCCCAAUGUUCAUAGCAGCACUAUUUACAAUAGCCAAAACAUGGAAACAGCCUAAAUGUCCAUCAACAGGUGACUGGAUA